rnacentral:tRNA from 1 species
UUAUAUAUAGUAUAAAAAUUACAUUUAACUUCCAAUUAAAAAAUUUUAAUAAAUAAAUAUAUAAA